GACGAACGCUGGCGGCGUGCUUAACACAUGCAAGUCGAACGGAAAGGCCCUGCUUUUGUGGGGUGCUCGAGUGGCGAACGGGUGAGUAACACGUGAGUAACCUGCCCUUGACUUUGGGAUAACUUCAGGAAACUGGGGCUAAUACCGGAUAGGAGCUCCUGCUGCAUGGUGGGGGUUGGAAAGUUUCGGCGGUUGGGGAUGGACUCGCGGCUUAUCAGCUUGUUGGUGGGGUAGUGGCUUACCAAGGCUUUGACGGGUAGCCGGCCUGAGAGGGUGACCGGCAAGAUUGGGAUAGAGAUGCGGCCGAGCCCCCUGCGGGGGAGGGCGGUGGGGAAUGUUGCAAUGUGGGGGGAGGCCUGAUCCAGCACCGCCGGUUGGGGGAUGACGGCCUUCGGUUUGUACCCCGCUUCCGCCUGUGAAGAGGCGGGAGUGAGGAUAGUGGAUAAAGAGGCACGGGCUAGCUAGGUC
rnacentral:rRNA from 1 species